rnacentral:lncRNA from 1 species
GUAUGCUGUAACUCUGUGUUAUGUUUUGAUAAAUUUGGUUCUUGUGUGUUUGUUUCUUCCUGUGGAAGGAACAUAUCCCAGUGUCAUUGAAAACUGAAGCAAGUGCUGGACUUUCUGCCACUGAAUUGGAGCUAUCAGCAGUUGGAAGGUUAGAGGGAAAUUGGUGGACAAGAAUGAUAGUUGGUGGG